rnacentral:rRNA from 1 species
UGGGGAAUUUUGCACAAUGGGCGCAAGCCUGAUGCAGCGACGCCGCGUGAGGGAUGAAGGCCUUCGGGUUGUAAAAAUCUUUUUUAUGGGAUGAAAAUGACAGUACCAUAAGAAUAAGGUCCGGCUAAAUACGUGCCAGCAGCCGCGGUAAUACGUAUGGACCGAGCGUUGUCCGGAAUCAUUGGGCGUAAAGGGUACGUAGGCGGCCCAGUAAGUUAGAAGUGAAAUAAUAUAGCUCAACUAUAUAAAGCUUUUAAAACUGCUAGGCUUGAGAGAUGGAAGGGAAAGUGGAAUUCCUAGUGUAGCGGUGAAAUGCGCAGAUAUUAGGAAGAAUACCGGUGGCGAAGGCGACUUUCUGGUCAUCAUCUGACGCUGAGGUACGAAAGCGUGGGUAGCAAACAGG